UGGGGAAUAUUGGACAAUGGGCGCAAGCCUGAUCCAGCCAUGCCGCGUGGGUGAAGAAGGCCUUCGGGUUGUAAAGCCCUUUUGGCGGGGACGAUGAUGACGGUACCCGCAGAAUAAGCCCCGGCUAACUUCGUGCCAGCAGCCGCGGUAAGACGAAGGGGGCAAGCGUUGUUCGGAAUUACUGGGCGUAAAGGGCGCGUAGGCGGCCUUUUAAGUCAGCCGUGAAAGGCCUGGGCUCAACCUGGGAAUUGCGGUUGGGACUGGAAGGCUGGAGAGCGGGAGAGGAUGGUGGAAUUCCCAGUGUAGAGGUGAAAUUCGUAGAUAUUGGGAAGAACACCGGUGGCGAAGGCGGCCAUCUGGACCGUAUCUGACGCUGAGGCGCGAAAGCGUGGGGAGCAAACAGG
rnacentral:rRNA from 1 species